CGUGCGUGCGGAAGACAUCGGAGCGGGACUUCCGGCAUCUUAGGCGCAACCAGACAUUUUGUCGGUUGUUGUGAGGAUCUACGCGCUACGGGGCUCUUGAAUGCUUGGUCUGGACCGAGGGUGGAGGAAUUGGGAAGACGCGUGAGGAGGCGUUGUCCCCGCCGCUCGGAGGCGAGACGAGGUUCGGCGGUGGCGACGCCUGCGGUGACCCCGCCGCCGGGGCGGGGCUUGGGACCGCGGUAUCCACGUCCUCAACCCGGAUGCCUGCCUCUCCCGGCGCACUCCGCCCACAGACUCCGAUGGCGGCGGCCGCGCUGAGGGACCCCCCUCAGGGGACACGGGUUCGAACCUUGGUGCGGGAAGUUCCCAUAUGCCACGGAGCAGCUAUGACCAUGCGCCACAACUACUGAGCCUGAGCUCUAGAGCCUGUGAGCCACAACUACUGAAGCCCAUGCACCUACAGCCUGUGCUCCGCAACAAGAGAGGCCACCGCAAUGGGAAGCCUGCACACCACAAUGAAGAGUAGCCCCUGCUCACCACAACUAGAGAAAGCCCGCAUGCAGCAACGAAGACCCAAUGCAGCCAUAAAUAAAUAAAUAAAUAAAUAAAUAAAUAAAUUUUAAAAAGA